rnacentral:rRNA from 1 species
CGGUAAGGCCCUUCGGGGUACACGAGCGGCGAACGGGUGAGUAACACGUGGGUGAUCUGCCUCGCACUCUGGGAUAAGCCUGGGAAACUGGGUCUAAUACCGGAUAUGACCUUACAUCGCAUGGUGUUUGGUGGAAAGAUUUAUCGGUGCGAGAUGGGCCCGCGGCCUAUCAGCUUGUUGGUGGGGUAAUGGCCUACCAAGGCGACGACGGGUAGCCGGCCUGAGAGGGCGACCGGCCACACUGGGACUGAGACACGGCCCAGACUCCUACGGGAGGCAGCAGUGGGGAAUAUUGCACAAUGGGCGAAAGCCUGAUGCAGCGACGCCGCGUGAGGGAUGACGGCCUUCGGGUUGUAAACCUCUUUCGACAGGGACGAAGCGCAAGUGACGGUACCUGUAGAAGAAGCACCGGCCAACUACGUGCCAGCAGCCGCGGUAAUACGUAGGGUGCGAGCGUUGUCCGGAAUUACUGGGCGUAAAGAGCUUGUAGGCGGCUUGUCGCGUCGAUCGUGAAAACUUGGGGCUCAACCCCAAGCUUGCGGUCGAUACGGGCAGGCUUGAGUACUUCAGGGGAGACUGGAAUUCCUGGUGUAGCGGUGAAAUGCGCAGAUAUCAGGAGGAACACCGGUGG